rnacentral:lncRNA from 1 species
GGGGGGGGAGGGGUUAAAGCAUUACAGAGACAGCUGUAGAAUGAUUCGGGGUGAGCAAUGAGGAGUGAAAAGACCAUGAACCACUUUAACCUCUGCCUACCCAACCUCCGAGACAGGGACAUUCAAAAGAGGACCAUAUCCUGACAAAUACCUUUCUGGGAAAUUUCAUAAACCAAAUCGAAAACCAAGCCAUUUGGUGACAGGGACCCACACACAGCUGUCUGCAUUUGUUAGUCCUGUGUUUUGAGGAAGCUGAUGACUGUGAGGGGAUGAAGAACUUAAGAUCAAAGAGGAAAAGGAACCAGAGUCAACCAAGCAAAGAGGGCCCCUGCUGUCAGGAACAAGGAAGAAGUGAUGAAACCUGCAAACCUUCAAACUUGAUGUGAAUGAACACCAAAGUCGAGAUAGAGUCUACAAAAGAGCUUCUUUCUACAGCCUUCACUUCUGGUAAUGUAAUACAUUUUAGAAUCUCAUCUUAACACCAAGCCAUUUCCAGGGACUCCCUUACUUCUCAUCUUUGCCCAACAUUGGCCUCACUCCAGUUCUUAUUGGGAUGCUGAACACAGAUGUUAGUGGUCAUGUCUCAAUGUCUAGUGCUACACUGCUUAAGGAACCUUCUAGGACAGGGUUCCCUCUCCAAUAAAUCCACAUCUCCCCUCCAAACCCAAUCAGAGCACAUGAAGAAAAGUCAGUUGUUAAUCAAGUUCUCUACACCCCCAUGAGUUGUGUAAAAUUAGAGAAGACAUUGAAACUAUAACCCUCAGUUUGUCCAUUCUUUAACAAGACUUUCAAGUCCACUCUCCUUAACAGGGAGUGCUAAGGCAAUUAGGAGAGCAAACAAAAGGAAGGAUGCUUUUUAACCUUUCUUAAGAGAACAAGAUGCUUUCAAGUUCUUUAGAAGUGCCUAUUUUUAUACAGAUGAGGUCAUCCAAAUAUCCCUGGAGCCAGCUGCCACCAGUCAGGGCUUUGGAUGCCUGCUCUGCAAUCCCUGCUGACCCACCACACUCCUUCACUUGGAAAGUCCCGACUCUGGCAAAGAGCUGCCCUUGAAGUAGGUACUUCAAAGGGGCCACAGGCUACUGGAAAGCGUUCAGAUCUCUUAUCUGAGGAGCAGGGAUGACCACCAGUGCUGACCGGCCCUACCUGCUGUUUCCUGGCAGAUUAACUCUACUUGGUGUUGUUCCUAC